UGGGCUCGUAGUUUAUUAAAAGAAUAGCUGGUUUCGGCCCAGUUGGAGGGGGGUUCCCCCGAGUUUAG
rnacentral:tRNA from 2 species